rnacentral:rRNA from 1 species
AACGUAGGAGACAAACGUUAUCCGGAGUUACUGGGCGUAAAGGGCGUGCAGGUGGUCUGUUAAGUCUGGCGUGAAAGCUCUCGGCUAAACCGGGAGAGGUCGUUGGAUACUGGCGGACUAGAGGACGGUAGAGGCGUGUGGAAUUCCGGGUGUAGUGGUGAAAUGCGUAGAGAUCCGGAGGAACACCGAUGGCGAAGGCAGGUCUCUGGGCCACUACUGACGCUGAGAAGCGAAAGCAUGGGGAGCGAACAGG